rnacentral:lncRNA from 1 species
ACCUUCAACCGAGACUUCUUGAAGGGUGUGGCGACAGCUGAAGAACAUGGACGGCAAACGGAUCAUCUUGGCCCUCGCUGCUUUGGCUGCGCUUGUGUGCGGAACUCUUGCUGUUCCUUAUGCCGAAGUGGAGUCAGCCGCCAGAUAUUCCCCCGCUAAGUAGGAGCAGAUGGCCAGGUGGGCUCGGACUACCUAAGCUCACCAUGCGGCAUGCCGAUCGGAGGAGACGCUACUGCACGUGCGGUUCGUUACAGUGAAGUCGCCAUCCAGGAUUGUGGACCUUGUAGAAUGCACGAUGCUACAAUAAACCGCU